rnacentral:rRNA from 1 species
UACGGGGGGUGCAAGCGUUGUUCGGAUUUACUGGGCGUAAAGCGUGCGUAGGCGGUGGUCCAAGUCUGGUGUGAAAUCUCCCGGCUUAACUGGGAGGGUGCGCCGGAAACUGGGCCGCUGGAGUACGGGAGAGGCAAGCGGAAUUCCAGGUGUAGCGGUGAAAUGCGUAGAUAUCUGGAGGAACACCCGUGGUGCAGACGGCUUGCUGGACCGUGACUGACGCUGAGGCACGAAAGCGUGGGUAGCAAACAGG